UAGCAGAUAACUGAUGUAAAAGUUCAACAUUCUUGACAUUUUGAUUUGGAAAGAUAAGAUUGCAUCACAUAUCCUUCUUUUCUUUUCCCUCUACAAAUAAUAUCAUAAAAAAGAGAGAAACAAAAUGAUCUAGAGACAGAAUUUACCUUCUGGACCUCUUGAAUUAGUUGUUUUGCUCGUUUAUGAAGCCUUUGAAAUUUGGAAUCAAGUUCAGAAUACUUCUCUUCACACUCUUUUAUUUCUUUAUCUAACUACUGUUAAGCUACCCAAAGAAACCAUGCUAUGAAUUCAGAGUUUUGACACAAUAGUGGAUAAAAGGACAGUGAGAUCAUACCUCAAACUACAUGAACUUGAACAUCAUGCAAUUCCAAAAAUUCUCUUUUCUUUUCUUUUUUUUAAAGAUUUUCACAAGGCAAAGCACAUCUAACCCUCUUGCCCACAGAUAUAAAUAAUCAUUUCUCCAGACAUAUAACUUGUAUUAUAAUUUCAUCAUUUUAUCAAUAAUUUUUAGCAUGGAACUUUAACUAUAAGCAACAUCAAAAAGUUACAAGCACUACACUUCAAUAAACGAUCAUAAUUAAACAAGAUCUCACUGAAAUAGUAUUAAACUCCAAAUAAACAGACAAUCUGACCUUCAGCAAGCUUUGCAGAUUGC
rnacentral:misc_RNA from 1 species